ACUCAAAUGAAUAGACGGGGGCCCGCACAAGCGGAGGAGCAUGUGGUUUAAUUCGAUGAUACGCGAGGAACCUUACCAGGGCUUGAAAGACAGGAGACCGUUGCGGAAACGUGACUUUUCUUCGGAACUGCUGUCUAGGUGCUGCAUGGCUGUCGUCAGCUCGUGCCGUGAGGUGUCGGGUUAAGUCCCAUAACGAGCGCAACCCCUAUCUUCAGUUGCCAACAGGUAAUGCUGGGGACUCUGGAGAAACUGCCCGCGUAAGCGGUGAGGAAGGCGGGGAUGACGUCAAGUCAGCACGGCCCUUACGUCCUGGGCUACACACGUGCUACAAUGGUUGGUACAAAGGGCAGCUACACCGCGAGGUGAUGCAAAUCUCUAAAACCAAUCUCAGUUCGGAUCGGAGUCUGCAACUCGACUCCGUGAAGCUGGAUUCGCUAGUAAUCGCGUAUCAGCAAUGACGCGGUGAAUACGUUCCCGGGCCUUGUACACACCGCCCGU
rnacentral:rRNA from 1 species